rnacentral:rRNA from 1 species
UACGUAGGGCGCAAGCGUUGUCCGGAAUUAUUGGGCGUAAAGAGCUCGUAGGCGGCUUGUCACGUCGGAUGUGAAAGCCCGAGGCUUAACCUCGGGUCUGCAUUCGAUACGGGCUAGCUAGAGUGUGGUAGGGGAGAUUGGAAUUCCUGGUGUAGCGGUGGAAUGCGCAGAUAUCAGGAGGAACACCGAUGGCGAAGGCAGAUCUCUGGGCCGUAACUGACGCUGAGGAGCGAAAGCAUGGGGAGCGAACAGG